UUCAGUUCCUCCGUUAAACAGAUCCUUCAUCUUCUCCCUAAUGUUAAAAUCACCCCAUCGGUGUAACUACAAUUAUAAAGAAAGUACGUCGGACGCCGGGUUUAGCUGCUAUUUAAACCCUGCUCUCUUGCAUUUCAGUGCAGAGAGUGGGGAGCCGCUACAGCACAAGGACUGUUUCCUAAUUUAUUCCAAUUCACAGGGAGGAACGCUGGCAGUCAAUUUGCUAUGGAGGACCAUUUUAACGCCGUGAUGGGCGUCUUCCUUUUUCUGUCCUCUAAUUAACUUACUGGUUUCCUCCUAGUCGCAUGGUUGGUGUAUCUAGCAACUAUUUGUGACACAAUUCGGAACUUGGUGUUGACCCCUCCCAGGGUCUACCUCUCCAUCCUUGUCCCGGGAGCUGUUGGGCGUCCGACUCUGUGGUUGGUAAGCGUUUCUCUGUUUACCUUUCCUCCUUUGAAAUAUUCCUUGGCCUCCAGUCAGAUCUGUAUCAUACCUAUAUAUACACACAUACACUGUAUAUUUAUAUAUGUUGUACAUGGCUAAUUCUAUGUAUUCUUUUUGUUGUCUAGUUACAAACAUUUGUGCAUGGAUUUUGUUUUCCCCCGAAGAAGCGAAAAUCGCGAAACAUGUAGGGAACAUGCGAUCUCCAUGUGUUGUUUAAACCAUAACUAUAUGUUUUCUGCGACCACUACUCAUCUCUAAAUUGAUUGACUUUUGUUUUUAUCUAUUUAAUAAAAAUAUUUUGUAUUUUUGU